rnacentral:rRNA from 1 species
CACUCCUGCGGGAGGCAGCAGUGGGGAAUUUUGGACAAUGGGCGAAAGCCUGAUCCAGCAAUGCCGCGUGAGUGAAGAAGGCCUUCGGGUUGUAAAGCUCUUUUGUCAGGGAAGAAACGGUGAAAGCUAAUAUCUUUUGCUAAUGACGGUACCUGAAGAAUAAGCACCGGCUAACUACGUGCCAGCAGCCGCGGUAAUACGUAGGGUGCAAGCGUUAAUCGGAAUUACUGGGCGUAAAGCGUGCGCAGGCGGUUUUGUAAGUCUGAUGUGAAAUCCCCGGGCUCAACCUGGGAAUUGCAUUGGAGACUGCAAGGCUAGAAUCUGGCAGAGGGGGGUAGAAUUCCACGUGUAGCAGUGGAAUGCGUAGAUAUGUGGAGGAACACCGAUGGCGAAGGCAGCCCCCUGGGUCAAGAUUGACGCUCAUGCACGAAAGCGUGGGGAGCAAACAGGAUUAGAAACCCGAGUAGUCCCAUGAU